AUUUGCAGCCUGGAGUGUUCCUGGAAGGGCAGUGGCUGGGGCUCUCCUGCUGAGAGCAGAAGUGCUGAUGGCUUUGGCAGUGACCUCGAGGGACAGGACUGCCCCAGGAAUGAAAACCUCCCUCCUGUGUCAUCCUCCAAAGCCCAUGAACACCCAACUGUCCAUAAAGGUGGCAAGAGCUUAAAACUCUCAGAGCAAGGACAGAGGUGACCAGCACUUGAAAAUCCCUGCCUGUGAUCAGCCUCAUCAUACAGCACGUUUGCCUGAACCUCUGUGCCACGCUGUUCACAGCAAGUUUUGUGAAACACAUCAGAUCAUCAGCAGUUUUGCUUCUCUAAGUCGUGGAAAACGUAAAACCUGCCUCACACAAAAGCCAGGUUGGAACAGGUUGUCAGAGUGUAUUUUGGAGGAGCUGGAAUGUCUGGGUGCUACUAAAAGCUGUGGCAAAUGGAUCUCUGACCCUUCUUUGGGACAGCUCACACUGAAAAAGCCAUAUCUGGAUGAUUCAAAUGCAGCUGCAGAAAUUCAGGAGGUGAAGAGUUACUGAAAAUGUGUUUAUAUGUAGGGAUGACCAAUCCAGCAGGAACAACUUUUACCUCUCCUUGAGCUCGGAGUUCAUAACACUCUUUGAACAUCAUCAGCCCUUAAGUGCUGAAACAAGGUGAACAUUCAGCUCCAGAAACUUCAAAUCCAGGGCUAAACAUGGAGUUUGUACUUCAGAGAAGGAAUCAAUUUGGGAUUGUCAUUUUUUGAAACACACUGAGAUAAAUCUCUCUAUUGCUCCCUGCUUUUACAGCUCUUUGGUCCAAGCUAUCAUGGACCAUGGGCAGGGAAUGUUCCUGGUGUUAGCAGCAAUCCACCAAAGCUGUCAAGUGGCUGAGAGCUUCAAACCAGACCCUACAGGUGGUUUGGGGUUCACUUUUGGAAUACUUUAAAGAGACAUGUGGUAAAAGAGCAGCUCACA